CUCAUGGCUACCCCAUUGAAUCUGUGAUCUUCAGAGAAGCCUGUUUCCACUUGCUAAAGAAGUAUCCUUGAUGUUGUUCUUUUGUUGUUAGACAAACGGACAGUCCUAAAGAAAUGGGGAAAAAGAGACUCUGCAAAGAUUCUGCAGUUCAAGGAAAAAAGUUUGGACAGGUGGACACAAACACAGUGUGCCAGUGGUACACGCAUGGACAUACACCACCGUGUCAAGAAGGAGCGUGUCUUCAACAGUGCUGAGCACCUGACCAGGGCCUCAACCAUGCUCCAAACUCCAAGAUCCCAGGAAGCUGCUGGCUAGGGAACUCCCCAGCACCUCUGCUCUCCUGCCAUUCAGAAAGGCUGAAGGCCCAAGAAGUAAACAAAAAUACAAAAUCAGUAACCUACUCUGUGACUGUUCCUUGAGCACCAAACAUGGGAUUUGGCUCCAGCCUUCUCAAUGUUUACAGUCAAAAAGACAAACAAACAAACUGGUUCAUACCGCACACCAGCUGGGCAUGCAUGCUGGCAUUAAGUCAAACCAGAAACCCAAGUUGCUUCAGCUCUCUAGGCUGUAGGGAAUCGGAUUAGGAGCCAAGAUGUUCCUUCCUCUGUGGUCAGCUGGAAAGCCAGGAGCACCCCAACUCUAUUCAGCACAGACCUGAGACCUGCUUCUGAGUCCACACCCGAUACCCCACUUCUCUUCUGCACCUGCAGAUAAACCCAGUUUCCUAGUGUUCUUUCAACAUGCAAGUCUCACGCAGGUUUUAUAUACUGAUGGCUCAGUUAGGGCAGUAUGAUAGGUUUGAUCCCUGGUGGCCCAAUCAGGAUUGAUUGUAGAAAAAUGCAGCCCUGUCUGGAAUUGCUAAAAGGAAAUGUUUGAGAGAAGGGAAGCCAGCACCAUUUGUACAAUGACGGCGGCGAAUAAACCAGAGCAUUCCAGCAGUUUCUUAAUCCCGCUGCAGGCCGUCUUGAAGCGAUCCCCAGUUUGCGGGUGCACAUUUCUGUGAUGUGCUGCAUGUCUCUAGACAAUUCCCCGCACGGCCUGGGACGUCCCCUUGAAGAAGUGAGGAAAUCACUGCGGCGGGCUCCGGUCCCCGGAACUGACCUAAAUAGUGGCUUUGCCCCUGAUGAAGUAGUGCUGAUUGCUUUGUACAUGUAGCGUUCAUCAUCAUCAGCCAGGCCCAGCUUCCCUGCUCAGAGACGGAGAGAAAACACAACAGACUGAGCAGAGAGAGCUGAAGAGCACGAUUCAGCCAAUGAUCACGAGGAUGCGAAGAGACCGCAAGGUACAAUGAGCCAAAAACCAUGCACCUGAGACCCAGCCUCCCAGGCAGCAAACACCCCUGCCCAUCCCUCCCUGCCCGUCCAGGUCACCGCCACCUCCUGCCCCAUCAGCAGCAAGUCUUUCCUUUCACAUGCAUCUGGGGGAGGUAGCCUCCCAACGUCCUAUUUUAUUACCAGGUGGGGAGAUGAAUGGUCCUAUGGUAAAUCCAGAAACACAGAGUGACCCUAUCAAAUCUUUUUUAAAAAUUGUAAUAUUCGUCUUCAUACUCCUGCUGCAAGACCAAAAUAAAGUCCAAGUUGUUUGACAAAAUGCCAUGCAGCUCUGAAAAUGGGAGUCUGCGUC